GACGAACGCUGGCGGCGUGCUUAACACAUGCAAGUCGAACGGAAAGGCCCUGCUUUUGUGGGGUGCUCGAGUGGCGAACGGGUGAGUAACACGUGAGUAACCUGCCCUUGACUGUGGGAUAACUUCAGGAAACUGGGGCUAAUACCGGAUAGGAGCUCCUGCUGCAUGGUGGGGGUUGGAAAGUUUCGGCGGUUGGGGGUGGACUCGCGGCUUAUCAGCUUGUUGGUUUGGUAGUGUCUUACCAAGGCUUUGACACGUAGCCGGCCUGGGAGGGUGACCGGCUCCACUGGGCCUGAGCUGCGGCCCAGACUCCUACGCGAGGCAGCAGUGGGGUAUAGUGCACAAUGGGCGGAAGCCUGAUGCAGCAACGCCGCGUGCGGGAUGACGGCCUUCGGGUUGUAUUCCGCUUUCGCCUGUGACGAAGCGUUAGUGACGGUAAUGGGUAAAGAAGCACCGGCUAACUACGUG
rnacentral:rRNA from 1 species